UACGGAGGGUGCGAGCGUUGUCCGGAAUCAUUGGGCGUAAAGGGCGCGUAGGUGGCCCGGUCAGUCUUUGGUGAAAGCGCGGGGCUCAACCCUGCGUCGGCCAGGGAUACUGCCGCGGCUCGAGCACUGUAGAGGCAGGCGGAAUUCCGGGUGUAGCGGUGGAAUGCGUAGAGAUCCGGAAGAACACCGGUGGCGAAGGCAGCCUGCUGGGCAGUUGCUGACACUGAGGCGCGAAAGCGUGGGGAGCAAACGGG
rnacentral:rRNA from 1 species